UACGUAGGGGGCGAGCGUUGUCCGGAUUCAUUGGGCGUAAAGAGCUCGUAGGCGGCUUGGCAAGUCGCGUGUGAAAGCCCCCGGCUCAACUGGGGAGGGUCACGCGAUACUGAUCGACUCGAAGGCAGGAGAGGGUAGUGGAAUUCCCGGUGUAGUGGUGAAAUGCGUAGAUAUCGGGAGGAACACCAGUGGCGAAGGCGACUACCUGGCCUGUUUCUUGACGCUGAGGCGCGAAAGCUAGGGGAGCAAACGGG
rnacentral:rRNA from 1 species